rnacentral:rRNA from 1 species
UACGAAGGGUGCAAGCGUUACUCGGCAUUACUGGGCGUAAAGCGUGCGUAGGUGGUGAGGUAAGUCGGAUGUGAAAGCUCGGAGCUCAACUCCGAAAUGGCAUUGGAAACUACCCUGCUAGAGGAUUGGAGGGGGGACUGGAAUACUUGGUGUAGCAGUGAAAUGCGUAGAUAUCAAGUGGAACACCAGUGGCGAAGGCGAGUCCCUGGACAAUACCUGACACUGAGGCACGAAAGCUAGGGGAGCAAACAGG